rnacentral:rRNA from 1 species
GACGAACGCUGGCGGCGUGCCUAAUGCAUGCAAGUCGCACGCAGUCGCUUCGGCGGCUGAGUGGCGCACGGCUGAGGAACACGUGAGUACCGACCACCUCGUGGGGGAUAACUGGUCGAAAGACCUGCUAAUCCCGCAUACGUUCACCCUAAAGGGUGAAGAAAGCGGCAAACGCGCGGGGUGCCGGGCUUGCGGCCCAUCAGGUUGUUGGCGGGGUAAUGGCCCACCAAGCCUCGACGGGUAGCUGGUCUGUGAGGACAACCAGCCAGACUGGGACUGAGACACGGCCCAGACUCCUACGGGAGGCAGCAGCAAGGGAUUUUCCCCAAUGGGCGCAAGCCUGAGGGAGCAACGCCGCGUGAGGGAUGACGGCCU